rnacentral:misc_RNA from 1 species
GCCGCUAACAAAGUGUUUUAAAACAAAUGUAAAUAAAUUCAUAAACAAAUUAGUGAAAAAAUUGGUAUCGGAAUAUAUAGCAUAGAGCACAGUUACAAUAGUAUUGACUCUUUAUUUCUGGCAUGUACUUACACAUCAUUUAUAAACGCAACUCCUGUAAUACAACACCAUAAUGCUGGUCGCAACACCAGGGCAAACAACGACGUAUUCUCUUCUCGGCAGUAGCGCGCCCAAGAAGACAUGUCUUCUUAACUCAUCUGCAACACCAAAGAGCAGCAUCAACAACUCAACUGCAUCGACUACUAACAGCAACAAUAGCAGUAACACAGCCGCCACGCUAAUGAAAACAAUCCAAGUACGACUCAAUCGUGGCACUGAAUUUUUAAAAGAUACUGUGCAGAAAGCGCUUAUCAGUAAUACCACCAAUCCUAUUAACACAACCACCAAUACAUCAAGCAUUAGCUUUCGCAACAACAACAACAAAAUUAAUAUAAAUUCUUCUGUUGUUGGCACUAUAAAACCUAUUCAUGCAUCAUCAGCUCUCGCAUCAGUUCCAGCAAAAACUACUUUAGUUGGUAAGUCUACUUAUACUACAGAUUUGUCUGCAGCUCCCUCAACAUCAAGUGGUGCAAUUGCGAGGACGUCAAUUACAGCAAACACUUCCAAACCACUAAAGCUGAAUACCGUCCCGCCUACCAAAAUACAUCGCUACCCACAAGAGCGCCAAGAGACCAGCAGCACGGACAGUAUCAAUAAAGAGAUGUGCCAUUUCAAGCCAAUUUUGCCAGCACCAACUAUACGUUGGAAAUGUGGUAGCAAGUCACGAGGCGGUGCAACUAUAAAAAUUCCCGUAGCAUGUUUAGCAACGAAUAUUAAAAACUUGAACUGUGAUGAUUGUUCGAAGUUGGUUGUUGAAGAUAGCAGUGAAGGUGAACAAGAUGUAAAUGAAGAUGAAGCAAUGGGGCUGGAGGAUACAAAACAUCCGCACAAAUAUCUUUUCAAGCCAAAUCCAAGUUCUACCUUAUUGAGUACGAUCAUAACUGCACCAUCGCAUCAAUCUGCAUUCGUUCGUCUGGUCGCACAAAUGAAGACUCUGGUCAAUAUACAUCAAACACCGUGUGAAAAACCACACAAAUCUGCUAAAAAGAAGGAUCAGUAUAAGUCACGGCACACGGCACGUCGUGGCCGUACAAAUGCGGCGCUAGCUUUGAAAAUGCAACAGUUACGUAAAUCGCCAAUCAGUUUGCCAUUGACGCAGCUUUUAUUACGCAGUCGCAAACCGUCAUUUGUGCAAGUAAAUAAACUAAAUUUACCCACUGAGCUGAUUAUGAAGAAAAGUCGAACAGCCACCGCAAAAGCUAAUCCCAUAGCUACCAGCAAAUCAACCAAUGCAGUUAAAGACAAAAAAAGAACGGCCGCUCUUUCCGUACAAGUUGAUACCAAGAAAGGCAAGCGUAAUACCUCCAAAUCAAAUAUAAUCAACAUUGUAGCGUUUGCGCAUGACAAAAACGCUACACAAAAUGUCAAAAGGACUCUUCAAACAAGCAAAAGUAAAGUCACUACUAAUGUUGGUGAAAGCCCUGCUACAGAGACAAAAUACCAACAACGUAAACGGAAACAUGUUGAUGAACUAUGUGCGGCAAAUGAAGUUGUUGGAUCGGAAUUACAUGAGUUUAGAAAGACUAGUUCGACCGAGGCAAGCAAUAUACCACCAUUGCGCAAAAGUGCUAGGCUUUCAAAAGAUGGCAACAACGAGCUUUUGACAAUAGGCACUGUUAAACGUAUUACGCUUAGGAAACGUAAUACACGUUAUACGCAGCAACGUUCAGUCGAUACCUUUUCGCCGCCAAUGACACGUUCACGUCGGAAAGAGCUGAUGCAAAAGCAAUGUAGCCCCUUUGUAAUGGACGACAACUCACAGCUCAUUGUCUAAGUCAUAUAAAACGGCAGCAUAUUUAAAAACUAACAAGAAUAUGGAAUAUUUUUUGUGGCUAUUAUGCACUGCAUAUGUUAGUAGUAGUAUACUGUGUUAAGGACUGGAAAUAUGAGUGCAACCUAAACAACGCAUUAAUGAAACAAGAUCGCAAAGCUUUGCACAGUUAGCUCACUGAUCCCUACUGGCUCAUUGUGAUAGUGGAUGAACACUAUAAUCUACUACCAUUUGUAAGAAUUUAUGCACUACUAUUUUUAUUUUAUCUGUAAUAAAUCAUAAAUGAAUCACUUAA